GACUGAGGAGAGAAAGGACAUAGAAACAAGGAGCUAAAUUUAACCUCAGAGAAGUUUAAUGCAUCAAAAUAGAAACAUUUCUGUCUCUACACAGCAGUACGCUUGAGGGGAUCAGUGCGAUUAGAAACAUGGGUCUCCUAAUCAAAACAUAACAGGUAACAAAAUGAAGCGCACCCUUACCUUGAUAAACGUACAGAUUUCUCUGGGUUUGAAAAUUGUAGGAAAGAAUAUUAGGCAGUUGUGCUUCGUGCAGACGGGGCAGUGGAAAACGUUGACCGUGUCCUCGUACACACACCAGCCGGCACAGUCGGGGGUGGCACAGUGAUAGCUGCCCUCACAUCGAGACUCAGCCACUGACAGCCCUCUCUGCAGCCAGCGCUCGUACUCCUCUGCCGGCACCAACUGAGAACGAGGAGCGGAAAUGAAUUAUGAAGGACGGGGAGCAGGUACAGGAGUACGUGUCGUCUCUGUAGGGGCAGGCCACCUCCGGCUCCUCGCUCAGCAUGAUGACUGAGCGAAGGCACUCUCUGGAUAAACACAUCGCACAAACAAGAGACACGUCAGGCUGAAGAAGACUCACUCUCUUUCAUUUCUCCACACCUCUGCUCUUGACACUGUGAAGUGGUACCUGCAGAAGCAGUGCAGGCACUCCCUCAGCAGGACGCCCUCCCCGCGCUGCAGGUCCAUGUAGCAGAUCCUGCAGUCCACCGGCUCGGGGUUCGGCAGCAGGUCCUGUCCGUCCAGCAUCACCAGCCGGGCGAAGUUCUCUCGGCGCUCCGCUUCCCGGGCCUGGUGUUGUUGGGAGGGUUAAAAUGAUGCUCUGACUGUUGCCCGUCAGUAUUUAUUAAAUGCACAAUAAACAUAAC